rnacentral:rRNA from 1 species
GAAUUUUGGACAAUGGGCGAAAGCCUGAUCCAGCCAUUCCGCGUGAGUGAAGAAGGCCUUCGGGUUGUAAAGCUCUUUCGGCAGGGAAGAAACGCUCUGGGUUAAUAACCCGGGGUAAUGACGGUACCUGAAGAAGAAGCACCGGCUACCUACGUGCCAGCAGCCGCGGUAAUACGUAGGGUGCGAGCGUUAAUCGGAAUUACUGGGCGUAAAGCGUGCGCAGGCGGUUUUGUAAGACAGGUGUGAAAUCCCCGGGCUUAACCUGGGAACUGCGCUUGUGACUGCAAGACUCGAGUACGGCAGAGGGGGGUAGAAUUCCACGUGUAGCAGUGAAAUGCGUAGAGAUGUGGAGGAAUACCGAUGGCGAAGGCAGCCCCCUGGGUCGAUACUGACGCUCAUGCACGAAAGCGUGGGUAGCAAACAGG